UUAAAAAUUGAACAAAGAACUUGAAAAGACAUUUCUCCAAAGAAGACCUACAAAUGGGCCAACAGAUAUGUGAAAAACGCUCAGCAUUACUAAUCAUCAAGGAAAUGCAAAUCAAGACCAUUAGAUAUUACCUCACAUGUUAGGAUGGCUAUUUAAAAACAAAACAAAACACAAGUGUUGGCAAGGAU